rnacentral:tRNA from 1 species
CAGCGGGCUGGCCGCGCCGGAGGUGGCGGCGGUCCUGCACCGGUUGCGGGACGAGUCGGUCGUCCAGCUCGGGUUCCGCGUCCCGAUCUGCGGC